rnacentral:rRNA from 1 species
CCUACGGGUGGCAGCAGUAGGGAAUAUUGCUCAAUGGGGGAAACCCUGAAGCAGCAACGCCGCGUGGAGGAUGAAGGUUUUAGGAUUGUAAACUCCUUUUGUUAGAGAAGAUUAUGACGGUAUCUAACGAAUAAGCACCGGCUAACUCCGUGCCAGCAGCCGCGGUAAUACGGAGGGUGCCAGCGUUACUCGGAAUCACUGGGCGUUAAGCGUGCGUAGGCGGGGUAAUAAGUCAGAUGUGAAAUCCUGGAGCUUAACUCGAGAACUGCAUUUGAAACUGGUACUCUGGAGUGUGGGAGAGGUAGGUGGAAUGCGUGGUGUAGGGGUAAAAUGCGUAGAGAUCAAGAAGAAUACUCAUUGCGAAGGCGGCCUGCUGGAACAUUACUGACGCUGAUGCACGAAAGCGUGGGGAGCAAACAGGAUUAGAUACCCGGGUAGUC